AUUGAACGCUGGCGGCAGGCCUAACACAUGCAAGUCGAGCGGAUGAAGGGAGCUUGCUCCUGGAUUCAGCGGCGGACGGGUGAGUAAUGCCUAGGAAUCUGCCUGGUAGUGGGGGAUAACGUCCGGAAACGGGCGCUAAUACCGCAUACGUCCUGAGGGAGAAAGUGGGGGAUCUUCGGACCUCACGCUAUCAGAUGAGCCUAGGUCGGAUUAGCUAGUUGGUGGGGUAAAGGCCUACCAAGGCGACGAUCCGUAACUGGUCUGAGAGGAUGAUCAGUCACACUGGGACAGAGAGACGGUCGAGACACCUGCGGUACGGAGCAGUGGGGAAUAUUGGAGAAUGGGCGAAAGGUUUAUCCAGCCAUGAGGAGGGAGGUAAGAAGAUCGUGUGAUUCUUAAGUACUUUAACUUUGGAGGAAGGAUAGGAACCUAAUACCUUGGUGUCUUGACGUUACCAAAAGAAUAAGCACCGACUAACUUCAUG
rnacentral:rRNA from 1 species